rnacentral:rRNA from 1 species
AAGCUCGUAGUUGAAUUUCGGGGUUAGUAGGUUGGUCAUGCCUCUGGUAUGUACUGGUCUCACUGAUUCCUACUUCCUUAUGAACCGUAAUGCCAUUAAUUUGGUGUUGCGGGGAAUUUGGACUGUUACUUUGAAAAAAUUAGAGUGUUUAAAGCAAGCUAACGCUUGAAUACAUUAGCACGGAAUAAUGAAAUAGGACGUUCGAUCUUAUUUUGUUGGUUUCUAGGAUUGACGUAAUGAUUAAUAGGGAUAGUUGGGGGCAUUAGUAUUCAAUUGUCAGAGGUGAAAUUCUUGGAUUUAUUGAAGACUAACUACUGCGAAAGCAUUUGCCAAGGAUGUUUUCAUUAAUCAAGAACGAAAGUUAGGGGAUCGAAGACGAUCAGAUACCGUCGUAGUCUUAACCAUAAACUAUGCCGACUAGGGAUCGGAUGAUGUUAAUUUUUUAAUGACUCAUUCGGCGCCUUACGGGAAACCAAAGUGUUUGGGUUCCGGGGGGAGUAUGGUCGCAAGGCUGAAACUUAAAGGAAUUGACGGAAGGGCACCACCAGGGGUGGAGCCUGCGGCUUAAUUUGACUCAACACGGGGAAA